GGAAUUUAGUGAACGCUUCUCUUGGCAGCGAUUCAGCGACUAUUUUUUAGCAGUGGUUUAGUGUUUCGACGGUCGUCGACGUGGCCUGAGAAAUGUGAUGUGGUGCGCAGGAAUCGUCUGAUUCAAUAUAUAUACGCAUUGAAAUGGCUUGAGCCACGUGUCUCCAGGUCUGUGUCGGAGAUUUUUCGGAUUUAUUUGAGAGUUGAGAGUUGAGUCAAGUUGAAUUGUCAACAUUUUGGUGCCGAAACUGCCCGGGAAUAUUUAUUGAGUUGUUCUUUCCCGUUUUCAGUCUGAUAUCGAGUAUGGCGGAGAUAGAGCGCUUGAAGCGUUCGAGGAACGCCGCCCGAGGGUGGCUGAAUCGUGCAGGCGAGUCCCUGAGCGCCGCGCUGACAAGCAAAGAUGCAAAGCAAAGUGACGCACAGACAAGCAAAGAUGUGGAUCUUUUUGAAGUGGAAACCAUGCUUGCUCUCUUUGAUAGGAGGAUGUGUAACUUUGAAGCCGCGCAGACGGCUCUUGAGUCGGAACAAUCUGAGGAGGACACCCUGUCCGACCAGUCUUCAGGGUCGUUGGACCAGUUGAUCAUGUUGAGAGCGAGGGCCAUGAAAUUGCUGGCAGCCCAAGCAGCACCAGCUUCUGGUGCUGGGAUCCGAGGUGAGACCCCCAAGCUACCGAGGUUGGACCUGCCUCGUUUCUCUGGAAAACCCCAAGAUUGGCCUGCAUUUUGGGAGGCGUUUUGUGUCGCAGUACAUGAUUCGAAGUUAGCAGAUGUCACAAAGCUCACCUAUCUGAGAACGUUGCUGGAUGGUGAGGCGAAGAGAUGUGUGGAGGGGCUCGCAUUGAGUAGCGAGAGUUACAAGAUAACAUGUGAUCUUCUGCAAGAGCGGUUUGGACGCAAGGAUUUAAUAAUAUUUUCUCAUGUGCAAGCUCUCCUCAACCUUGAUCCUAUUCCUUUGGACAAGCUCCGUGACCUAGUAGAUAUCCUCCUCAUCCACAUCAGAAGCCUGGAAGCCCUCGGCAUUACAGGAGAGUCCUAUGGUGUCCUUCUAAAUCCUAUCAUCCUUUCCCGACUACCCAAUGCUGUCCGCCUGGAGUGGGCCCGUGAAGCCGAAGAGAAGGAGGCUGAUCUUGAUCAUCUCAUCGGGUUCCUGACGAGGGAGGUGGAGCGGCGAGGUCGCUCUGGUGUCUACGUGGGACUGGCUGGUGCUGGAGCAUCAUCUUCAUCUUCACGAGCCAGUGGUGCCGGCGCUUCUUCACGGGCUGGUGGUGCCGGAGUCUCCGCUCGGGCUGGCAGUGCCGGCGGUUCUUCAUCUUCGAGAGGUGGGGGCAGCCACCCUGCUGUCACUAGCCGGCGCCCGUCUGUGUACACGGAGGCGCGGGGCACCGGCCCUGGUCUACCCUCCGGGGCAGCUCUGCACUCAUCUGAGCUUAAGUGCUCUUUCUGCGAACCUCAGAGCUGUGGCGGUUCCAGCCAUAUGUGCCCCCCUCGCGCGUCCACUUCUGCCGGCCUCUGUUCUGGAUCAGCUUGAUGGUGUAGUCCUGGCUGACCCGCUAGAGAGUGAGAGUCUGCACAUCGACAUUCUGGUCGGUGUUGAUCAGUUCUGGCAACUGGCAAGGUAGUGUUGGGCGCCGACUGUAGAUGUCGCUCUGAGCAGUGAGGCGGCGUGCAGAGGACGCGCUGAGUUGACAGUUGCGUGUGGUGGCUCGCAGAGUGCAGGGUGCAAGUGGCCCUGGUGAUGUGACAAGUUUGAUGUCGUUUGCGUCGAGGUUGGCGUUUGUUUGUUUGAAGAGUGGUGAAUCGAUUUACGUUUGCGUUUGUAGACUGAUGCGUUUGACUCAGAUUCUCUGUCUGAAUCUGUCUGAAUUGAAUUAAGUGAUGCAGUCUUGUUCGCUGUGAACUAUGGAUCUGUCGUUGUAAGAUCGGUUCCGUACCUGUGUGAAACGCGCCCUCUGAAGUUCGCAUUUCAGGGGGGAGGAUGUUACGGAAUUUAGUGAACGCUUCUCUUGGCAGCGAUUCAGCGACUAUUUUUUAGCAGUGGUUUAGUGUUUCGACGGUCGUCGACGUGGCCUGAGAAAUGUGAUGUGGUGCGCAGGAAUCGUCUGAUUCAAUAUAUAUACGCAUUGAAAUGGCUUGAGCCACGUGUCUCCAGGUC
rnacentral:misc_RNA from 1 species